UUACUUACCUUGCAAGGGAGAUACCAUGAGCACAGAGGUGGCUUUCCCAAGGUAAAACUCAUCCAUUGCACUCUGGUUGUGCUGACUCCGGCUACUUCCCCAAGUGUGGAAAAUGUGACUGCAUAAUUUUUGGUGGUGGGGGAUGGCAUUUGCAAUUUCGCC
ensembl:snRNA U1 U1 spliceosomal RNA